UACGUAGGUGGCGAGCGUUGUCCGGAUUUACUGGGCGUAAAGGGAGCGUAGGCGGACUUUUAAGUGAGAUGUGAAAUACUCGGGCUCAACUUGAGUGCUGCAUUUCAAACUGGAAGUCUAGAGUGCAGGAGAGGAGAAUGGAAUUCCUAGUGUAGCGGUGAAAUGCGUAGAGAUUAGGAAGAACACCUGUGGCGAAGGCGAUUCUCUGGACUGUAACUGACGCUGAGGCUCGAAAGCGUGGGGAGCAAACAGG
rnacentral:rRNA from 1 species